rnacentral:rRNA from 1 species
GAUGAACGCUGGCGGCGUGCCUAAUACAUGCAAGUCGAGCGAACAGACGAGGAGCUUGCUCCUCUGACGUUAGCGGCGGACGGGUGAGUAACACGUGGAUAACCUACCUAUAAGACUGGGAUAACUUCGGGAAACCGGAGCUAAUACCGGAUAACAUGUUGAACCGCAUGGUUCAACAGUGAAAGACGGUCUUGCUGUCACUUAUAGAUGGAUCCGCGCCGCAUUAGCUAGUUGGUAAGGUAACGGCUUACCAAGGCAACGAUGCGUAGCCGACCGGAGAGGGUGAUCGGCCACACUGGAACUGAGACACGGUCCAGACUCCUACGGGAGGCAGCAGUAGGGAAGCUUCCGCAAUGGGCGAAAGCGUGACGGAGCAAGGCCGCGUGAGUGAAGAAGGUCUUCGGAUCGUAAAACUCUGUUAUGAGGGAAGAACAAAUGUGUAAGUAACUAUGCACGUCGUGACGGUACCGAAUCAGAAAGCCACGGCUAACUACGUG